rnacentral:rRNA from 1 species
GACACGGACCAAACUCCUACGGGAGGCAGCAGUGAGGAAUAUUGGUCAAUGGACGAGAGUCUGAACCAGCCAAGUCGCGUGAAGGAAGACGGAUCUAUGGUUUGUAAACUUCUUUAGUGCGGGAACAAAGCGGCGUCGUGACGCCUGAUGAGUGUACCGCAAGAAUAAGCAUCGGCUAACUCCGUGCCAGCAGCCGCGGUAAUACGGAGGAUGCGAGCGUUAUCCGGAUUUAUUGGGUUUAAAGGGAGCGCAGGCUGCGAGGCAAGUCAGCGGUCAAAUGUCGGGGCUCAACCCCGGCCUGCCGUUGAAACUGUCCUGCUAGAGUUCGAGUGAGGUAUGCGGAAUGCGUUGUGUAGCGGUGAAAUGCAUAGAUAUGACGCAGAACUCCGAUUGCGAAGGCAGCAUACCAACUCGCGACUGACGCUGAGGCUCGAAAGCGUGGGUAUCGAACAGGAUUAGAUACCCUGGUAGUCCACGCAGUAAACGAUGAAUACUAACUGUUCGGAGGGCGACCUCUGAGUGGUAAAGCGAAAGCGUUAAGUAUUCCACCUGGGGAGUACGCCGGCAACGGUGAAACUCAAAGGAAUUGACGGGGGCCCGCACAAGCGGAGGAACAUGUGGUUUAAUUCGAUGAUACGCGAGGAACCUUACCCGGGCUCAAACGUCGGGCGAAUCAUCCUGAAAGGGAUGAGCCAGCAAUGGCGGCCGACGAGGUGCUGCAUGGUUGUCGUCAGCUCGUGCCGUGAGGUGUCGGCUUAAGUGCCAUAACGAGCGCAACCCUUAUUGAUAGUUACUAACAGGUAAAGCUGAGGACUCUAUCGAGACUGCCGGCGUAAGCCGCGAGGAAGGUGGGGAUGACGUCAAAUCAGCACGGCCCUUACGUCCGGGGCGACACACGUGUUACAAUGGCGUGGAACAGAGGGAAGCCACCUGGCGACAGGGAGCGGAACCCGAAAACACGUCUCAGUUCGGAUUGGAGUCUGCAACUCGACUCCAUGAAGCUGGAUUCGCUAGUAAUCGCGCAUCAGCCAUGGCGCGGUGAAUACGUUCCCGGGCCUUGUACACACCGCCCGUCAAGCCAUGGAAGCCGGGAGUACCUGAAGUAUGCAACCGCGAGGAGCGUCCUAGGGUAAAAUCGGUAACUGGGGCUAAGUCGUAACAAGGUAGCCGUACCGGAAGGUGCGGCUG